CCCUUAGAUGUUCUGGGCCGCACGCGCGCUACACUGACGGAGGCAGCGAGUAUGUCCUUCGCCGAGAGGUGUGGGGAAUCUUGUGAGUCUCCGUCGUGCUGGGGAUAGAUGGUUGCAAUUGUCGAUCUUGAACGAGGAAUUCCUAGUAAGCGCGAGUCAUCAGCUCGCGCUGAUUACGUCCCUGCCCUUUGUACACACCGCCCGUCGCUACUACCGAUUGGAUGGCUUAGCGAGAAUUUUGGAUCGGAGCCCGGGUGGUCGGCAACGGUCGCCCGGGAGAUCUGAGAAAUCAUUCCAGCUUGGUCAUCUAGAGGAAGUAAAAGUCGUAACA
rnacentral:rRNA from 1 species